rnacentral:rRNA from 1 species
UACGUAGGGUGCUAGCGUUGUCCGGAAUCAUUGGGCGUAAAGAGCGUGUAGGCGGCCCGGUAAGUCCGCUGUGAAAGUCGGGGGCUCAACCCUCGGAUGCCGGUGGAUACUGUCGGGCUCGAGUACGGAAGAGGCGAGUGGAAUUCCUGGUGUAGCGGUGAAAUGCGCAGAUAUCAGGAGGAACACCUAUUGCGAAGGCAGCAAGCUGGGAAGUUACUGACGCUGAGACGCGAAAGCGUGGGGAGCGAACAGG